rnacentral:rRNA from 1 species
UACGUAGGGCGCAAGCGUUGUCCGGAAUUAUUGGGCGUAAAGAGCUCGUAGGCGGCCUGUUGCGUCCGCUGUGAAAUCCCGGGGCUCAACCCCGGGCCUGCAGUGGAUACGGGCUGGCUAGAGGCAGGCAGGGGAGAACGGAAUUCCUGGUGUAGCGGUGAAAUGCGUAGAUAUCGGGAGGAACACCUGUGGCGAAAGCGGCUCACUGGACCACAACUGACGCUGAGGCGCGAAAGCUAGGGGAGCAAACAGG